rnacentral:rRNA from 1 species
AUUGAACGCUGGCGGCAGGCUUAACACAUGCAAGUCGAGCGGGGUGAUGGUGCUUGCACUAUCACUUAGCGGCGGACGGGUGAGUAAUGCUUAGGAAUCUGCCUAUUAGUGGGGGACAACAUCUCGAAAGGGAUGCUAAUACCGCAUACGUCCUACGGGAGAAAGCAGGGGAUCACUUGUGACCUUGCGCUAAUAGAUGAGCCUAAGUCGGAUUAGCUAGUUGGUGGGGUAAAGGCCUACCAAGGCGACGAUCUGUAGCGGGGUUGAGAGGAUGAGCCGCCAAACUGGGACUGAGACACGGCCCAGACUCCUGCGGGAGGCAGCAGUGGGGGAUAUUGGACAAUGGGGGGAACCCUGAUCCAGCCAUGCCGGGUGUGUGAAGAAGGCCUUAUGGUUGUAAAGCACUUUAAGCGAGGAGGAGGCUCUUUUGGUUAAUACCCAAGAUGAGUGGACGUUACUCGCAGAAUAAGCACCGGCUAACUCUGUGCCAGCCGCCGCCGUAA